AACGAACGCUGGCGGCAGGCCUAACACAUGCAAGUCGAACGCACCGCAAGGUGAGUGGCGCACGGGUGAGUAACACGUGGGAAUGUACCCUUUGGUUCGGAAUAACGUUUGGAAACGAACGCUAAUACCGGAUGAGCCCUGCGGGGGAAAGAUUUAUCGCCAAAGGAGCAGCCCGCGUCUGAUUAGCUAGUUGGUGGGGUAAAGGCCUACCAAGGCGACGAUCAGUAGCUGGUCUGAGAGGAUGAUCAGCCACACUGGGACUGAGACACGGCCCAGACUCCUACGGGAGGCAGCAGUGGGGAAUAUUGGACAAUGGGCGGAAGCCUGAUCCAGCCAUGCCGCGUGAGUGAUGAAGGCCUUCGGGUUGUAAAGCUCUUUCGCACGCGACGAUGAUGACGGUAGCGUGAGAAGAAGCCCCGGCUAACUUCGUGCCAGCAGCCGCAGUAA
rnacentral:rRNA from 1 species